AAAACUACACUUUCAGGGAUCAUUUCUACAGGUCAUUGCUAGAGAAGUUUUUAUGCACUGUGCAGAGCACCAGAAACCACAAGGCAUAGGCACAGCAUUCUCUCCCAAGCUCGGAGAUGGCCCUUGGUGUUGCUUCGUUGCAAACUGUGAUUUGCCACUGAUACCCUUUCUUCUCUUCCUCGGGAAGAGUAAGAGGGAGAAGAUGCAGACUCAGU
rnacentral:snoRNA from 1 species